AUUGAACGCUGGCGGCAUGCUUUACACAUGCAAGUCGAACGGUAACAGGCCUUCGGGUGCUGACGAGUGGCGAACGGGGGAGUAAUGCAUCGGAACGUACCCAGAGGUGGGGGAUAACGCAGCGAAAGCUGGGCUAAUACCGCAUGUGAUCUGAGGAUGAAAGCGGGGGACCGCGCAGCAAUGUUUGGCCUCGCGCCUUUGGAGCGGCCGAUGUCGGAUUAGCUAGUUGGUGGGGUAAAGGGCUACCAAGGCGACGAUCCGUAGCUGGUCUGAGAGGACGACCAGCCACACUGGGACUGAGACACGGCCCAGACUCCUACGGGAGGCAGCGGUGGGGAAUUUUGGACAAUGGGCGCAAGCCUGAUCCAGCAAUGCCGCGUGCGGGAAGAAGGCCUUCGGGUUGUAAACCGCUUUUGGCAGGAACGAAACGGUGUCCGCUAAUACCGGGCGCUAAUGACGGUACCUGCAGAAUAAGCACCGGCUAACUACGUG
rnacentral:rRNA from 1 species